rnacentral:rRNA from 1 species
UACGGAGGGUGCAAGCGUUAAUCGGAAUUACUGGGCGUAAAGCGUGCGUAGGUGGUUUGUUAAGUCCGUUGUGAAAGCCCCGAGCUCAACUUGGGAAUUGCAGUGGAUACUGGCAAGCUGGAGUGCGGUAGAGGAAGGUGGAAUUCCCGGUGUAGCGGUGAAAUGCGUAGAGAUCGGGAGGAACACCAGUGGCGAAGGCGGCCUUCUGGUCUGUAACUGACGCUGAGGCGCGAAAGCGUGGGGAGCAAACAGG